rnacentral:misc_RNA from 1 species
CUAAACCAAAUCACUUUUAUGAAUACUUUUUUUUUUUAAAUAAACGAAUGAAUUAAUAAGGAGAUAUUUUAAAUUUUAUUCCUAAUUCUAUUUUACAACUCAAACUACAUUAUAAACAAUAUUUUACAUACAACAACAAGUUUUAAACUUGUACAAAAUAACGUUUUCCUCUGAUUGGCUCCACUACUCCCAAAGGAUCAUGGGAGUUGAUUAAAUAAAGAAUUUUUCUCCAUUCAUUUCCCUUAUAUCAACCACCAAUCCUCAAAAAAAGUUGGAAUCAUAAACAAAUUACUAUCCCAAUAAGGAUUUCCCUAAAAUUAAAAAAAAUAUUUUAAAACAUACUCAGAAAUUUCAAUUACUUAUGAAUUUUUUACAACUUUAAAAUAAUUUUUUCUCCUUAAAAUACACAUCCCACUCUCAAACAAUGAGAAUUAAACUUUACAAAUAUAUUUUAUCCACUAAUUAACCAAAAAAUGGUAAAUACACUGAGAUUCUCAGACGUUUUGUUUUAACCACGAUAAAUAGGAACACGUGUGAGCAAGACUUCCCCCCAAAAUACAUUACAAAACACAAUAGAAUGAAAUACCACAAUAAAAUGAAAUACUUGUUCUACUACUACUACUACUACUACUUAAGCUUCAAGUCAAACCCUUGUAUGCAAAGCAGCUAAACAUGACUCCCAAGGCUUCUUUCUUUCUUUUCUCUGUUUUAGCACUUCUCUUUGCUGCAAGAGCUCAAGAGAGAGCUCCUCAUGGCCUGGUUUUUGAGAGUCCAGUGGCUUUUUCACCCUCAGCAGUUGAAUUUUUCCAUCCAAAAACACAAGAACCCAACACAGAGAAACCCUGUGCAGGACCAUCUGCUUGUUCACCAUUGCCCCUCGCAGCUGAAGUGGAAUAUUCUCGAACUCAGGAAACCAAAGUAUCAUCAUCCCAGAAAGGUGGGAGUCACCUAGGUGCCAGUAGCAUUGCCGGCAUUGUGCUCGGUUUGGCAUUUGCAGUGCUUCUAGCAAUGGCGGGUUUCUAUGUAUUCAUCACACGUCGAGCUAAUCUGAAUCGAGACAACUCUGUUCAACCUGAUGCUUGAUGGGGUUACUACAGUAGGCUUGAUGAUUUUGACAGUUUUCCCCCCUAUGGCUCCAGCUAGUCUGUCUUGCUAGUCAUUCUAUGAUUUUGACAGUUUUCCCCCCUAUGGCUCCAGCUAGUCUGUCUUGCUAGUCAUUCUCUUACAUAUAAUCUAAUGUGUUCUAAUUUUCGAUCUGGAAUGUAUCUAUGGUUUCAUUAGUGAUUACUUGCUUCAUAUGAUACAAAUGACACAUUAUCAACUCUACAAUUGAAGAAAGCAAAUGAAUUCUAAUCAAUGCAGACAGAUGCAGGAAAGUAGAUGUCCAGGUAACACAAAAGAAUGUUAAACACCAUCAUAGGUUCAAGGUUAGCAUUGGAUCACUCAAGCUAAUGUAGACACCUAAAAGAAAGAAGCCUUGGAACAUUUAAAAAGAAAAGGCAAACAGCUGUAGGUCUAGUAGUAUGAUAGUAUGCACA